CGAGCCAGAGCAUGAAAUUGUAUGCAUCUCACUUACAAUGAGGAUAUAGAAACUAAUUCUUGGUUCGA
rnacentral:tRNA from 1 species